UACGGGGGGGGCAAGCGUUGUUCGGAAUUACUGGGCGUAAAGGGUUUGUAGGUGGCCAACUAAGUCAGACGUGAAAUCCCUCAGCUUAACUGGGGAACUGCGUCUGAGACUGGAUGGCUUGAGUGCAGGAGAGGAACGCGGAAUUCCAGGUGUAGCGGUGAAAUGCGUAGAUAUCUGGAGGAACACCGGUGGCGAAGGCGGCGUGCUGGACUGCAACUGACACUGAGAAACGAAAGCCAGGGUAGCAAACGGG
rnacentral:rRNA from 1 species